ACCUUAUCAAGAGAGGUGGAGGGAAUGGGCCCUAUGAAACCCGGCAACCGGCAAAAAUUGUAUCGGUGCCAAUUCCUACAGGAUGUGAAAGUCCUGACAGAUGAGGA
rnacentral:ncRNA from 2 species